rnacentral:rRNA from 1 species
GACGUAGGGCGCGAGCGUUGUCCGGAUUUAUUGGGCGUAAGGAGCUCGUAGGCGGCUUGUCGCGUCGUCCGUGAAAACUUGGGGCUCAACCCCAAGCUUGCGGUCGAUACGGGCAGGCUAGAGUUCGGUAGGGGAGACUGGAAUUCCUGGUGUAGCGGUGAAAUGCGCAGAUAUCAGGAGGAACACCGGUGGCGAAGGCGGGUCUCUGGGCAGUAACUGACGCUGAGGAGCGAAAGCGUGGGGAGCGAACAGG